AGUUAUCCUGUGUGUAAAUGUCAAUAUAACGUUACACAUCAUAAUUGCAUCAGAGGCCUAUUUAUAGCAUUCCUCCAUCCUCCCUCCCCAUGGGAAAGAGAUUGCAGCUCAUCCUUGAUUGAGUCCUGACUUUCUUGGGGAGUAGCUUCCCACGGAUAAGUGUCUCCUUGUAGAUAAGAUGGAUCCCGCCUUCUGAGUAAGUGGUUAGACGGAUGCCUCCACUUUGGGCUCCAAGAUUUCGCGAUGACUUGGCAGGAGCCAAACUCCUCUGUGGAGCUAGCUGGUAGGCAUGUUGACCACAUGUUGCGCCUACUCGCUUGGAGACAGCUUGUUAUCCAUGCAGGUAGGCAUGUGGAGUGCUUGGGUUUAGGUAUGGCCUUGGGUUGGCUUUCUUUCGGGCUGUAGCUUUCCACUUGUCAUUGAGGCACACCCUCUGCCUUCUUGGGCUUUUCUUUAUCUUGGACCACUUAGGCCUAUUGCUUAUUAGGGAUGAUACCACUCAGUUCCCCUAAUUCUAAUAAAGGGGAUUAGAGCUACCAUAUUAGAGUAUAUACCGUCUAUGAUGUUUGAAGGUACCUCCAAUGGCGUGUGAUGCCUACAACAAGAUGAGGCUCCCUCCAUGGAAUAAAAUGCCCCCAACCAAUAAGAAUAAACAUCAUCUAUCAUGAUGUGUCCCUUCAUUAUCAGUCGACAACCAGUAGAUGGCUUACGACAUAAUAUGAUGCGAGGAUCGCGGGGCUCAAGAUCAUGUUACUAGCAGUUACCCUUAAUCGCCCACUCCAUGUGCCGAUAACUGACACUAGUGGGUUGCAGCUCUUCAUGAGAAAGAAAAGAGAUUAAUGCCCUAAGUCCUUCCCCAUUCUUAUCUCUCUUAUUGUUAUCUCUCCUUCACAUCCCUUCCGUCCAUUGCUCUAGUAAGUAAUUUCUUUAUGCUUUUUAUACCUUGUACUUCUGCUUUUAUUUUCAAUUUCUCUUAGGAGUGUUCAUGAGUCCAUGACCCUACCAUACUUGGCAAUGAUCCCACUAAGGCUACCUCGAGGGUGUCGCACCGUGGUUCUCCAUCCUCCCAAUUACCCCAGUGGUGGAGCCUUCGUACAAUGGGAGUGCAUUAUCUGUUAGUGGAUGCACUAAGGAGGAGGUAGAGUUAGAGGGAGAGAAGCUCGAGGGUUCAAAGGAAGAAGCAAAAGAGGAGGUGGUCUCCUCCAAGGAGGAAAAAAUUGUGAACAACGGUUCUUUCUUGAAGAGGCAGAGUUGCUUUUGGCCGGACCAAGGUAGUGAAGGAAGUCUGACCCUCAACAAUUGCAGGAGGAGUUUGGCAUUUAUGAUUUUUUCACUAUUUUGCUCCCUAAUCCAUACUUUCAUGCACAGAAUAUCCCUCCAAAUAGCUUGUGUUUCUUUACCGUCCAAAUCCGUAACGACCUUUAUUUUUCCAUUUUAUCCUUCUAUUUCGAGGCGGUUCAAACUUUUAGGGUGCUUCUUAAUUAAUUGAUCCCCAACUCUUUUGGUUUGAUGGGGAGUCAUGCUAUCGUGUUUCUUGCCUUCUUCCAGUCCUCCUGAGAAUUGCAUGGGGAGUGAUUACUUUUUGGUGCCUCCCAUUCGGUGGAACUUUCCCCACAGUGGCUGGUGGAUCUUUCUACUCGGAGCUUCACGUUGUGGCACAGGGAUGGUAACUUGUAGGCCCUUUUGAAGGGGUUGAACGCCAAUCCUUAUGAAUGCAAGAGGGUUUUAACUCUAUUUCCUGUUUUUAUGCAACAUUCGUGAAGUUCAAGAACUUACUUUACAGUGCUCGAGGGAGUUUGGGGACCCCAACAUCUAGUGAUUCCAAAGGAAAGCACUCUUUAAAAUCCUCUUGGGGCUUUCCAAACGGGCUAAAGUGGGCUCCAGCCAGUCGAUAGUUGUUGAUCCUCUUUAGGUUGACACCUGAUUGAUCCCAUCUCCAGCUCCUCCACUACCUACCAGGGAUUUGAGGGAUUUUCCCCUCCUCGCUUGUGUUACAUUCUCGAAUGGGAUAUUUAGAUGACCAACUCAUAUUUUUUAGAAGAAAUUAUAUUAGGAUAAUAGGAUACUAUCUUGGGUAAAGUACACUUUACCUCGUGAAUUAUUCCUAAUAUAAUAUUUAUCUCCCUAAACUAACGAAUGUAACACAUACCCUUUUGGUUGGACAAAAAUACCUUCAUGCUUUGAAUAACUA